rnacentral:rRNA from 2 species
GUGUCAGCCGCCGCGGUAAUACGUAGGGAGCGAGCGUUGUCCGGAUUUAUUGGGCGUAAAGAGCUCGUAGGCGGCUUGGUAAGUCGGAUGUGAAAGCUCCAGGCUCAACCUGGAGUCGCCAUCCGAUACUGCCAUAGCUAGAGUCCGGUAGGGGCCCACGGAACUCCUGGUGUAGCGGUGAAAUGCGCAGAUAUCAGGAAGAACACCGGUGGCGAAGGCGGUGGGCUGGGCCGGUACUGACGCUGAGGAGCGAAAGCGUGGGGAGCGAACAGGAUUAGAAACCCCAGUAGUCC